rnacentral:lncRNA from 1 species
AUGUUGCAGUGGAAGACAGGAUUCUUCAUAGGACAGAGGAGGAGGAUGGGGAGUAAUGUGGUCCUAAAGAGACUGUCUGAGAUGAAGAUGAGGAACCAGGGACUGACUAUAAGACUGAACACAGAAUCAAAAGACCUGCUAGAUUCUCAAAGUUAUCCCUCAUGAUUGAUCUUCAGAGACUUGCCCAAGAGAAUCCCAUAACAACCAACCAUCCAAAUAUUACACAGCAAGAAAAUGCAAAUGCAACUAACUUUCCAAUUCAUGUUUAUCUGCAAAGGCAAUCGCAAUUCAAAUAUUUUUUGGUCUGAAGGACACUGUGUUCUUGCUUUGCUCAGCACUGCACAAAUCAUCUGAGAUUGGACACUUUUAGAAGUUUUCAAGAAACUUAGAACUUCACACUGUAAAGACCAGACUCUGCACUGAUUCAUUUAGUCAGUUUAGGUAAGCGAAAUGACACAAAGGUCAAGGUUUUACAAAGAUAGCUGUUGAUUGUGGUAUUAAGAGUUGUAGUCACAAUGCAGUUACUGAGACACUGAUCUUUCAAACCAAAGAGUAAUGGAAAUUAUAGCUAUAACAACUGUAUCUCAACAACUGGUAGAUUCUUAGUCCCCAUGUCCAUUAUUGUGAAACCUGUGAGACACAACAAAAACACAGCUCCUAUCACAUAUUCAUAUAAACAAGCAGCAAGAAAUAAAAUGAUUUAAUAUUCAUAAUCUUCUAGCACACCAAACUUCACCACUAAAAGUAGUAACUUGCAGUUCAGUGAGAUUCUGAUGUUGAUUCUACUCUAAGUGAUUCAGUGAAAGAUUUCAAAAAAGGUUUGAACCAUUAACAGUCAUUGGUUCAUGAAUCAUUGCAAUGUACGUACGAUUUUAACCCAUGAUGACAAUACACUGAAAAUGGGACAUCUUGCCAUUAUUGCCAUAGACUGACAAAGACGAAUCACAAGUUUACAUAGGCUGCAUCAGAAAUCAUAUUCUCUAAGUGGGUCCUUUUUUCUUUUUUUGAACAAGUACUUUGUGACUAUUAAAAAAGACUAUGUUCUAUAUACUGUAGUAUGAAUGUAAUCCAGACUUACUGUUUUCAUCCUGCUGUUAUAGUCAUUUGACCUACAGCAUCCGCUUUUUGCCUAAUGUUUUACGAAUCUACUAAACAGUAUACUGUAUUUAGCUUACUAUUAGUAGGCAAGUAUGCCGCUUUUUGUCCUAAUGUUUUACGAAUACUACUAAACAGUAUACUGUAUUUAGCUUACUAUUAGUAGGCAAGUAUGCAUAUUUGGAUGCAGCCAUAGACCGAAGGUUUGUUUGGGUUUUUUUGGGUGUCACACUGGUGAUCACACCACCAAAUGAAAAACUGGUAAAGGGGAAAAAACUGCUGUAAAAUAUCACAAUGCAACAAAACUAUUUUGCUUUUUAUACCGAAACAAAUGCUACACAGCCAAGCCCACUUCAUGUGUUCAGCGGAGAAAAUAAUAUUUAGGUUUGGGGUUUGUAAAUAUAAAAAAAAAUAGACUAAUCAAUAUCUAUAUCUAUAUUAUAACAAAUUCUUUAGUACAAUGUCACACUUACAUUUGUGGAAUAUAAAGUGGUCCUAAGAUGCAGACACACAGGGUUUAUUAGAGUCAAAUUGACCCAAGAGGACCGAUCUUAUUUUUAAUUACAUGGCAAUGCAUGAAUUGAGAAUUAAUGUCACUGAUCAUACUGAUAUAAUAACGAUAACAUCCUGAUCUGUCACCUGGUGUCUUAAUGUCCUUAACGAACAGACACUACAAAAACAAAAUGUUGAGCUGCUUAAUGCAUAUAGAGGAACAUUACAUAAAAAUAAAACCUCACAUACUGAGCGAACCACCAAGUAGGCUAUGUGUAAAAUCUCUCUACAGUCUUAUUAUCAUAUAAAAUGCAUGGAUCACUUGACACGUGUGUAAUCUGCGGACUAGGCAGGUCUGGUCUCCUAAUGUCAAGUCAGCACUUAGUGUUCUCGAAAUGUGCUGGAUGAGCAAGUCAUGAAUAUUUAACUCAAUAUGGUUAUACAGCACAACUUAAAUGUUCAUAUUCAGUGAGGCCAUCAAACUUGACUUGAUAAACUUGACAAAAACAGUUUACUCAAUUUACUAAAUAGUGCUGCACAAUUUAAUACUGUACUUUACAUCAUACAUUUAUUUAGUUAAACAUUCCUAAUCUAAAUGGUUUUGCCUAAACAAGAUCUAAAGACUCACAAGUGACAAAAUAUAUAUAAACUAUGAAAGAAAUUUACAAGUAUAAUCUCUUCCAAAGAUUAAGUUUACAUUUUUUCUGAAGUACAUGAGAGAUAAGACACUUCUAUCGCAGGAGAAACCACAAAUUAAGGUAAAUCUAAUCCUAGCCAAGUGUUCAUACAGCAGACAAUGCUGAUAUGUGAAAGUCUCCAGAAACUAUGAACUGUGCUAAAACAGAGGAUGCAAGUGCAGUAGCAUUUUAUUACAAGAGUUUUAAACUUGAUAAGCACAACUUUCCUCCCUUUGGCAAACUACUAUCCAUGUAAAUGCAUUUCAAUGAUCAUGAAUGCACAAAGUUGUUUGGUAAACAGUUAAGGGGGCACAGUGCUAGGAAGUAUUGUAUAAGGAUGCUGUUUGCUGCUUCGGUGAUGCACCACUUUGACAGAAAUAAUCUGUUGUGUGAUCGGCUUGAAACGGAGUGAUUACUUUGCAAUGCUCCAGUUAAGUUGAUGGUAAUGCUAGGAUCCUAUUAAUAACCAGGCACGUCGAUGUGUUACAUUCGUGCACAUGUGAAAGGCCAAACCGUAUAUUCAGCAUCUCAACUCAGUGAGAUCUCAUUUCUGAAAUCAACUGAAUUGUGAUCAGCAUUAAGUAGGACAAGGAUCAAGUAAAACACAUUGAAUUACUUCAAGAAUCGUUAUACAUCAUUACACUGCAUACUUGGGAUAUUCUGAAUUACUACGUAUCAUAAGCUAUAAACCUUCCACCAUCAGGUAGGGGUGGGAGCGCAUGUUUUAUUGGAUAUGCAAGCUUAUAUACAAGUUUUAUAAAUAGGUGUGGAGAAUGCCUGCGCUCCGUCACCAACAUGAUACAUGGUCUUGAUCAAUCCGGGAAUCCGAGUCAAGUUUCCUGAGCUGAGCAACAAACAACAUGGCUGCUGCAACAUCACUUGCUGUAUUUAAUGUAUCCAUGACAGAUAAUUCAUUAGGCCAGAACUGAAACUAUGAUAUUUAAUAAAACACAAAGUAUCAUAAUGACAAU